rnacentral:misc_RNA from 1 species
AAGUCGUAACAAGGUUUCCGUAGGUGAACCUGCGGAAGGAUCAUUAAUACGCUUUUGUUUGUAACAAAACAAAACGUUUUAAACUCCAAAAGAAAUCGUGGAAACAUAACUUCCGGAUGCGAAUAUUGGGGAACUGAGUAAAAUCGGUUCUUUGAAAAAGGGACUUCAAGCAAUUGACACUUCAGAGUAGAGCAGUGAGGUGAAAUUCUCUUUAUGAGAGAGUUUGGUUCUGAAAAACAUUUGUAUCCGGUUAUCUUAAUCUGUUCUACAAAUUCUAUCAAACAAUAAACCCCAUCUAAAACAACUUGAACUAAACAUUUUUUUGUUGUCUGCUCGCACACUUGUUAAGUUGUGUGAGAAGCUACAAAGAAAAAACCUGAACUUAAGAACAACUCUUAACAACGGAUAUCUUGGUUCUC